UACGUAGGGCGCAAGCGUUGUCCGGAAUUAUUGGGCGUAAAGAGCUCGUAGGCGGCCAGUUGCGUCCGCUGUGAAAUCCCGGGGCUUAACCCCGGGCGUGCCAGUGGAUACGGGCUGGCUAGAGGCAGGCAGGGGAGAACGGAAUUCCCAGUGUAGCGGUGAAAUGCGCAGAUAUCGGGAGGAACACCGGUGGCGAAGGCGGUUCUCUGGGCCUGUACUGACGCUGAGGAGCGAAGCGUGGGGAGCAA
rnacentral:rRNA from 1 species